ACGCUGGCGGCGUGCUUAAUACAUGCAAGUCNAGGAGAACGUUUUCUUCGGAAAACUAUUAAACUGGCGAACGGGUGAGUAACACGUAGGCAACCUGCCUUGGAGAUGGGGAUAACCUCGGGAAACCGGGACUAAUACCGAAUAAUGCAGCGGCUUCUUUGGAAGAUGUUGUUAAAGCGGGCUUCGGCCCGCACUUCAAGAUGGGCCUGCGUCCGAUUAGCUUGUUGGUAAGGUAACGGCUUACCAAGGCGAUGAUCGGUAGCUGGUCUGAGAGGAUGAUCAGCCACACUGGGAUUGAGAUACGGCCCAGACUCCUACGGGAGGCAGCAGUAGGGAAUUUUGCGCAAUGGACGAAAGUCUGACGCAGCAACGCCGCGUGAUCGAUGAAGCUUCUAGGAGUGUAAAGAUCUGUCGUGAGGGAAGAAAAAUCUGGAUGUAAAUAAUGUUCAGACUUGACGGUACCUUACAAGAAAGCACCGGCUAACUUCGUGCCAGCAGCCGCGGUAAUACGAGGGGUGCUAGCGUUGUCCGGAAUAACUGGGCGUAAAGGGUCCGUAGGCGUUUUGCCAAGUUGAUCGUUAAAGCCACCGGCUCAACCGGUGAUCUGCGAUCAAAACUGGCAGAAUAGAAUAUGUGAGGGGGAAUGUGGAAUUCCUGGUGUAGCGGUGACAUGCGUAGAUAUCAGGAGGAACACCAAUGGCGAAGGCAGCAUUCUGGCACAAUAUUGACGCUGAGGGACGAAAGCGUGGGGAGCGAACAGGAUUAGAUACCCUGGUAGUCCACGCCGUAAACGAUGAGUACUUGGUGGUGGAGGAUUCGACCCCUUCACUAUCGGAGCUAACGCGUUAAGU
rnacentral:rRNA from 1 species